rnacentral:tRNA from 1 species
UCCCAGGAGGACUAGUGGUUAGGCCUCGGUGCUCUCACUGCCACAGCUCGGGUUCGAUUCAUGGCCUGGGAA